GUGGGGAAUAUUGGACAAUGGGUGCAAGCCUGAUCCAGCCAUGCCGCGUGAGUGAUGAAGGCCCUAGGGUUGUAAAGCUCUUUCACCGGUGAAGAUAAUGACGGUACCCACAGAAGAAGCCCCGGCUAACUUCGUGCCAGCAGCCGCGGUAAUACGAAGGGGGCUAGCGUUGUUCGGAUUUACUGGGCGUAAAGCGCACGUAGGCGGAUCGUUAAGUCGGGGGUGAAAUCCUGGAGCUCAACUCCAGAACUGCCUUCGAUACUGGCGAUCUUGAGUCCGGAAGAGGUGAGUGGAACUCCUAGUGUAGAGGUGGAAUUCGUAGAUAUUAGGAAGAACACCAGUGGCGAAGGCGGCUCACUGGUCCGGUACUGACGCUGAGGUGCGAAAGCGUGGGGAGCAAACAGGAUUAGAUACCCCAGUAGUCC
rnacentral:rRNA from 1 species